CUUGGUGGUAAAAAACGGUGCUUUUUCAGUGCUUCUGCAUUCUCAAAUCAUCUACUAUACAAUAUCACAUCAUACUGUAGAGCGAGAGCUUUCAAUACAACUUAUAGCUC